rnacentral:snRNA from 1 species
AUCGCUUCUCGGCCUUUUGCCUAAGUUCAAGUGUCAAGUUCAAGUAUCUGUUCUUGUCAGUUUAAUAUCUGAUACGCCCCCUAUCUGGGGGCCAUAUGUUAAAUGGAUUUUUAGAACAGGGAGAUGGAGGAAGAGCUUGCUCUGUCCACUCCACGCAUUGACCUGGUAUUGCAGUACCUCCAGGACCAGUGCACAAAAA